rnacentral:rRNA from 1 species
CCUACGGGGGGCAGCAGUGGGGAAUAUUGGACAAUGGGCGAAAGCCUGAUCCAGCCAUGCCGCGUGUGUGAAGAAGGCCUUCGGGUUGUAAAGCACUUUCAGUGGGGAAGAAAGCCUUGGGGCUAAUACCCUCGAGGAAGGACAUCACCCACAGAAGAAGCACCGGCUAACUCCGUGCCAGCAGCCGCGGUAAUACGGAGGGUGCGAGCGUUAAUCGGAAUUACUGGGCGUAAAGCGCGCGUAGGCGGUCUGAUAAGCCGGUUGUGAAAGCCCCGGGCUCAACCUGGGAACGGCAUCCGGAACUGUCAGGCUAGAGUGCAGGAGAGGAAGGUAGAAUUCCCGGUGUAGCGGUGAAAUUCGUAGAGAUCGGGAGGAAUACCAGUGGCGAAGGCGGCCUUCUGGACUGACACUGACGCUGAGGUGCGAAAGCGUGGGUAGCAAACAGGAUUAGAUACCCUAGUAGUC